rnacentral:rRNA from 1 species
UUUAUGGAGAGUUUGAUCCUGGCUCAGGAUGAACGCUGGCGGCGUGCCUAAUACAUGCAAGUCGAGCGAACGGACGAGAAGCUUGCUUCUCUGAUGUUAGCGGCGGACGGGUGAGUAACACGUGGAUAACCUACCUAUAAGACUGGGAUAACUUCGGGAAACCGGAGCUAAUACCGGAUAAUAUUUUGAACCGCAUGGUUCAAAAGUGAAAGACGGUCUUGCUGUCACUUAUAGAUGGAUCCGCGCUGCAUUAGCUAGUUGGUAAGGUAACGGCUUACCAAGGCAACGAUGCAUAGCCGACCUGAGAGGGUGAUCGGCCACACUGGAACUGAGACACGGUCCAGACUCCUACGGGAGGCAGCAGUAGGGAAUCUUCCGCAAUGGGCGAAAGCCUGACGGAGCAACGCCGCGUGAGUGAUGAAGGUCUUCGGAUCGUAAAACUCUGUUAUUAGGGAAGAACAUAUGUGUAAGUAACUGUGCACAUCUUGACGGUACCUAAUCAGAAAGCCACGGCUAACUACGUGCCAGCAGCCGCGGUAAUACGUAGGUGGCAAGCGUUAUCCGGAAUUAUUGGGCGUAAAGCGCGCGUAGGCGGUUUUUUAAGUCUGAUGUGAAAGCCCACGGCUCAACCGUGGAGGGUCAUUGGAAACUGGAAAACUUGAGUGCAGAAGAGGAAAGUGGAAUUCCAUGUGUAGCGGUGAAAUGCGCAGAGAUAUGGAGGAACACCAGUGGCGAAGGCGACUUUCUGGUCUGUAACUGACGCUGAUGUGCGAAAGCGUGGGGAUCAAACAGGAUUAGAUACCCUGGUAGUCCACGCCGUAAACGAUGAGUGCUAAGUGUUAGGGGGUUUCCGCCCCUUAGUGCUGCAGCUAACGCAUUAAGCACUCCGCCUGGGGAGUACGACCGCAAGGUUGAAACUCAAAGGAAUUGACGGGGACCCGCACAAGCGGUGGAGCAUGUGGUUUAAUUCGAAGCAACGCGAAGAACCUUACCAAAUCUUGACAUCCUUUGACAACUCUAGAGAUAGAGCCUUCGGGGACAAAGUGACAGGUGGUGCAUGGUUGUCGUCAGCUCGUGUCGUGAGAUGUUGGGUUAAGUCCCGCAACGAGCGCAACCCUUAAGCUUAGUUGCCAUCAUUAAGUUGGGCACUCUAAGUUGACUGCCGGUGACAAACCGGAGGAAGGUGGGGAUGACGUCAAAUCAUCAUGCCCCUUAUGAUUUGGGCUACACACGUGCUACAAUGGACAAUACAAAGGGCAGCGAAACCGCGAGGUCAAGCAAAUCCCAUAAAGUUGUUCUCAGUUCGGAUUGUAGUCUGCAACUCGACUACAUGAAGCUGGAAUCGCUAGUAAUCGUAGAUCAGCAUGCUACGGUGAAUACGUUCCCGGGUCUUGUACACACCGCCCGUCACACCACGAGAGUUUGUAACACCCGAAGCCGGUGGAGUAACCUUUUAGGAGCUAGCCGUCGAAGGUGGGACAAAUGAUUGGGGUGAAGUCGUAACAAGGUAGCCGUAUCGGAAGGUGCGGCUGGAUCACCUCCUUU